rnacentral:rRNA from 1 species
UACGUAGGGGGCAAGCGUUGUCCGGAUUUAUUGGGCGUAAAGAGCUCGUAGGCGGUUUGUCGCGUCGAAUGUGAAAACCCGGGGCUCAACCCCGGGCCUGCAUUCGAUACAGGCAGACUAGAGUUCGGUAGGGGAGUCUGGAAUUCCUGGUGUAGCGGUGAAAUGCGCAGAUAUCAGGAGGAACACCGGUGGCGAAGGCGGGACUCUGGGCCGAUACUGACGCUGAGGAGCGAAAGCGUGGGGAGCGAACAGG